rnacentral:rRNA from 1 species
UACGUAGGGGGCGAGCGUUGUCCGGAUUUAUUGGGCGUAAAGAGCUCGUAGGCGGUUUGGCAAGUCGGGUGUGAAAACUCCGGGCUCAACUCGGAGACGCCACUCGAUACUGCUAUGACUCGAGUCCGGUAGGGGAGUGCGGAAUUCCUGGUGUAGCGGUGAAAUGCGCAGAUAUCAGGAAGAACACCCGUGGCGAAAGCGGCUCUCUGGAACGGUACUGACGCUGAGACGCGAAAGCGUGGGGAGCGAACAGG